GAUGAACGCUGGCGGCGUGCCUAAUACAUGCAAGUCGAGCGAACAGACGACGAGCUUGCUCCUCUGACGUUAGCGGCGGACGGGUGAGUAACACGUGGAUAACCUACCUAUAAGACUGGGAUAACUUCGGGAAACCGGAGCUAAUACCGGAUAAUAUAUUGAACCGCAUGGUUCAAUAGUGAAAGACGGUUUUGCUGUCACUUAUAGAUGGAUCCGCGCCGCAUUAGCUAGUUGGUAAGGUAACGGCUUACCAAGGCAACGAUGCGUAGCCGACCUGAGAGGGUGAUCGGCCACACUGGAACUGAGACACGGUCCAGACUCCUACGGGAGGCAGCAGUAGGGAAUCUUCCGCAAUGGGCGAAAGCCUGACGGAGCAACGCCGCGUGAGUGAUGAAGGUCUUCGGAUCGUAAAACUCUGUUAUUAGGGAAGAACAAAUGUGUAAGUAACUAUGCACGUCUUGACGGUACCUAAUCAGAAAGCCACGGCUAACUACGUG
rnacentral:rRNA from 1 species